AACAAGAUGAGAAGACCCUAUGGAGCUUUAAUUCAUUAAUGCAAAUAGAAACUCACCCUAACCCAUUACCAUUGCAUUAAAAAUUUUGGCUGGGGUGAUCCUGGAGCAUAAUUUAACCUCCGAACAACCUAAACUAAGACGGCACUAGUCUAAGCGAGUUAACAUAUAUUGACCCAAUAAUUUAACAGAACAAGUUACCCGACGGAUAACAGCGUAAUCCUAUUCUAGAGUCCAUAUAGACAAUAGGGUUUACGACCUCAAUGUCGGAUGAGGACAUCCUAAUGGUGUAGCUGCUAUUAAGGGUUCAUUUGUUCAACAAUUAAAGUCCUACGUGAUUUGAGUUCAGACUGGAGUAAUCCAGGUCGGUUUCUAUCUAUU
rnacentral:ncRNA from 1 species